rnacentral:rRNA from 1 species
GACGUAGGGCGCGAGCGUUGUCCGGAUUUAUUGGGCGUAAAGAGCUCGUAGGCGGCUUGUCGCGUCGUCCGUGAAAACCUGCAGCUCAACUGCAGGCUUGCGGUCGAUACGGGCAGGCUGGAGUUCGGUAGGGGAGACUGGAAUUCCUGGUGUAGCGGUGAAAUGCGCAGAUAUCAGGAGGAACACCGGUGGCGAAGGCGAGUCCCUGGACAACUCCUGACGCUGAGGCACGAAAGCUAGGGGAGCAAACAGG